AGAGAGAGACAUGCGCGCAUAUCAAUAAGCGGAGGAAAAGAAACUAACAAGGAUUCCCUUAGUAACGGCGAGUGAAGCGGGAAGAGCUCAAAUUUGAAAUCUUCAAGGUUUUACCUUGACGAAUUGUAGUUUAAAGAAGUGUUUUCUGCUGAAGUUUUGGUAAAAGUUCUUUGGAAUAGGACAUCAUAGAGGGUGAGAAUCCCGUAUUUGACCAUUAUUCUCAGCUUUGUGAUACACUUUCAAAGAGUCGGAUUGUUUGGGAAUGCAGUCCAAGAUGGGUGGUAAAUUUCAUCUAAAGCUAAAUAUUGGCGAGAGACCGAUAGCGAACAAGUACCGUGAGGGAAAGAUGAAAAGAACUUUGAAAAGAGAGUUAAACAGUACGUGAAAUUGUCAAAAGGGAAGCGUUUGACACCAGUGUUGUUUUCUCGAAAAUCAAUUAAAAAUGGCUCGAUUUUGUAUUGUUGAGACCUUAAAAGCUCACUGUACAUUUUUCGUGUCUUUUUUAAUGCACUUUUCGUUUAACAAGUCAACAUCAGUUUCUUUUGUUGUAAAAGGGUCAUUGGAAGGUGGCUUUCUUUUCGGAGAAAGUGUUUAUAGCCUUUGGCCUCUGCAAUCGGAAGAGACUGAGGUCUGCAGCGUAGACUCUUCGGGGUUAGAUACAUUUGUGCUAAGUUAUAGCUUUUUAUAGACAACUUGUUGACUAUAAUUAGUCUUGUAGCUUACUCGCUUAUGCUAUUUUACCUACGCUUAGGAUGUUGAAGAUGUAGCACAUCAU
rnacentral:rRNA from 1 species